CUAGGCCAGGAUGGACUAACGUAGGAAGCAAAGCUGCUGCUGCUGCUGCUGCUGCUGCUGCUGCUGCUGCUGCUGCUGCUGCUGCUGCAAUACUUCCCACCCUCUUCAGACACCCCUCCACCAGAGGGAAUUCUUCACUCCAGUCCGCUCAUAGCUACCUGGCUUACACAGGAGCUGUAGAGGCUCACUAGUGCAGUCUUGAUGAAAUGAACUUCUUGGACAAUGGGCAAUGGACAACUACAGAGAGGCCCUGGGCUUCAGUGUGGUACUCCCAUUAAAUCUGCUCUUCAUGCAAAACGCUGCCCAGCCUUGAGAGGUCCUGAAGACCACAGCCUCUUAAAGAGCCAAGUCUAUUCGAGCCACUUCUCCAGAAUGAGACUGCUCACAAACCUUUGUUCUUGAAAACUACCAGAUCUCUGCCCUCUGGAACCAGCGUGGAGAUGGCACAGACAAGCCCUUUAUUCCCAUAAGACCCAGUAUCUCCCUCCAAAUAUGAAGACCAGUGAAACAAACACAGCCAGUCAUCCCAAUACAUAACCCAACAGACAAUCUGCUAAUGAAAUGGGAAAUAUGUAAUAACUGUGCUGUUUGUGCUUCUA